GUGGUGAUGAAACCUGCUCUUCUCUCUGCAGAACUCACCUGGACCGGAUUCAGCACGCGCUCAGCUCGGUCUCGUGAAACCCCCGUUAAAGCCGCCGUUACCGGCCCACAGCGGAGCCGCAUGUCAGCUCCGUUCAGCACUGUUUCUGUCGCAGCAUCGCGGAGGAUUAUCCUGCUUUAAUUAUACAUAGUGAAAGAUAAGAGACAAGACGGAUGGACAACGCCAACUUCUGCCAGUGAGCCUUUGCUGAACAAGUUUGGGUUCCAUACCUCUGCACACCACCUUUCUAUGAAGACUUUGGAGAAGCCAGCAACAAGUAGGACUUUCUUUCUCAUAUGAUUAUGAUGAACAAUGGACAUUUGGAGAUUAAGGACUUUUCAGUAAUGUACUGGCUGCGACCUUUAAAAACUCAUACCUCUCUCUCGCGCACGCACCCACACACUCGCCCACCCACCUACACCCCAUUAUGGAAUGGUGAUGGCAUACAUGAACAAUGGAAUUUUGAAGAUUAAGGACAUUUCAGUAAUGUACUGGCUGCAUCCUUUGCAAACUCACAAUCCCUCUGUAUCUGUCUCUCAACCACUGUAUUGCCUGUCACUAAAUGGCUCUCUCUCUCAUACAUUUAUCUUGGCAUCAGUCUUAUCCCAUUGAAAUGUAGAGGUUUCG